UCGAAACUGAAACCUGUUCAGGCACCGCGGCCGUAGCGUCGCCACUAUCGCUGUUUACAGACAUGGCGUCGUGUUAUGCAGCGUGCGUAUCUGUGGUGAUGCAGUCGUCGUUGAGUGACUUUUUCUUUUACUAUCUCGUGAUGUCGCUUUUAUAUUGCGCUCAUUAACGAAGGAAGAACUUCUGGGCCGGAUAUGAUGCGUCAUACGGGAGGAACUAAUUCAAGAGCAACCUACUGCAACACAACCUCGGUGAUCCCUUUGUUUGAUUUGCGGACGGACGUGAUUCGUAGUGUUGGAGGAUACCGUCUUCAAAUGCUUCCGCACAACAGUGAAAAGCAGUGCCGAAGUUCCGUCUCGACAACGCGCUCUGUGGCGAGGAGAAAUGCUUUGAAGUCCGGGCACAUCGGGAAGUCGGCACAUUGCCCCGAGACCAACGGACGCCCGGCAAUCGGCAGCGCCGCACAUCGCCACAAGACGGACGGACGCGUGUUUUUCGUGCCAAAAAAAACCUGUUUUUUUUCAGCCUCUUCCUCUGCAGAUGACGUUGGUGAUAAUAUCUGUGAGCAGCAGUGACCUAUGCCUGAGUGAAGAGAGAUAUAAGUAGGUGCAGAUUGGUGUAGGCUUUGUGCUGCCUUAUAACAGUGGCAGUAUAUUUAAAGUGUACAUCAGAUGCCAAGUGUGCAAUAGAUGUGGGCCUGUGGACACCAGCAGAAGCUGGGGAAAGACGCCUGACUGGGCAGGCCUGCCGCACAGUUUGGAUUCAACCAGAAAGCUUGCGGCAACACCAGAGAAAGUGGCUGCUGUGAAGAGUGCAGAUUGGUGUGGGAUUUGUGAUGCCACUCAACAAGUGGCAUUACAUAAUAAAGUGUACCUCCGAAGCCAAGUGCGCAUUAGGUCUGGCACAGCAUCUGUGGACACCAACACAAGCUGGGGAAAGAAGCCCGACUGGGCCGGCCAGCCGGACUAUCUCUGAUGCAUCUGGGAAGCUUCUGGCAACACCAGAGAAAGUGGCUGCUGUGAAGAACUGCCUGGAGAAGUACAUCGGGGAACAUCCGAUGGGGCCACCAGCACCACCUCCAGAGCACCACCUUGCUUCUGUAACGUAGCACCUUUGGAGCUUCUUCACAGAAGCGGGCGCGAGGGCAAGCGAGUAUGGAAGACGUGAAUCGCCUUAACCUAUUGCAUUUUUUCAAUAAAGUGUGAAGAUAUGGAACAUAUUAUGGUGCUAUACAUUGAUUCCUUAUGGCAUGAAAAUGUAGCGGCAUACUUGGCCACAUGUAGAUACAGACUGCACACUUUGCAAGACUCAAGAACG
rnacentral:lncRNA from 1 species